rnacentral:rRNA from 1 species
AACCUCCGCAAUGUGAGAAAUCGCGACGGGGGGAUCCCAAGUGCCAUUCUUAACGGGAUGGCUUUUCAUUAGUGUAAAGAGCUUUUGGAAUAAGAGCUGGGCAAGACCGGUGCCAGCCGCCGCGGUAACACCGGCAGCUCUGGUGGUAACAAUUUUUAUUGGGCCUAAAGCGUCCGUAGCCGGUUUAAUAAGUCUCUGGUGAAAUCCUGUAGCUUAACUGUGGGAAUUGCUGGAGAUACUAUUAGACUUGAGACCGGGAGAGGUUAGAGGUACCCCCAGGGUAGAGGUGAAAUUCUGUAAUCCUGGGAGGACCGCCUGUUGCGAAGGCGUCUAACUGGAACGGUUCUGACGGUGAGGGACGAAAGUUAGGGGCGCGAACCGGAUUAGAUACCCGGGUAGUCCUAACUGUAAACGAUGCGGACUUGGUGUUGGGGUGGCUUUGAGCUGCUCCAGUGCCGAAGGGAAGCUGUUAAGUCCGCCGCCUGGGAAGUACGGUCGCAAGACUGAAACUUAAAGGAAUU